GCGUUUUUCUAGCGAGCUUGGGAUAGUGAAAGCCAAGUAGAGCAAAAUGAGCAGUGGCGCUUUCUAUCAGCAAAUAGCUGAAGACAAACAGAUAAAAUGAAGUAAUAAAUUAGGGUGGAACCGCGUUUCUGACG
rnacentral:sRNA from 1 species